rnacentral:lncRNA from 1 species
UUUUGUUUCUUUGGAAAGGAGAGGGGGGCUACUAUAAUAGAGUUCACAACUGCAAAACAUCCUAUAAGAAAUUGUUUAUGAUGUAGGUUUGAGCAUCCACUUGUACUACACACGUACCAAUCGUGAUAUACAGAUUUCACAUUCCUAAAUAAGCUUAAUGAUUCAAUUCUUAGGAGCAACAAUCGUUAAUAAAGAUGGUCACACAUCCUGAAAGUAUUACUUCCUUAAUUACAAAAGAGUGAUCAAACCAAAACAUCCCUGAAGUUGUUAUUGUCAAUCAUUUCUUUAAUCGGUAGUUGACGAAUUUUAUUACAAUGAUUGACCAAGACCAAUCAUUGCGUCAGCUCAACCACUAAGCGAUAUAAAAUGAUGACUUAAAUAUACAUACACUAAAGAGGUAGAUUUAAGGUUGUUGAAAUGUGAACCUGAAGUCACGAACUAUCUAAGUCAUUGACUUAUGGAAAAUCAAAUCAAACUAUUUUCAACAUCAUUAUCACCUUGUUCUUAAUUUGCAGGUUGCCAUUGUAAAUUACAGUGAGAACAUUCACAAUAAUAAUUGCCUAUUAGAAAUUAGAAAUAUUGACAAAUACAAACACUCGUGUAAACAGUACAAUAAUAUUGUAAGAUACACAUGUCCAAGCCAAAAUUUCAAUUUCAAUUGAAGCAAGCUUCUGGGAACACUAUAAUUGAUUACAGGACAAAACCCAGCACCAGUUUUAUUAAUGGUUUUCUAAACACUAUUUCUUUUGGAUAGCUCGUUUAAUUUGAAGUGCAGCUCCUACCACAUUUCCUCUUGUGAGAAUCCCUACCUUCAUAUCAAUAAUAAACAACUCUUAGAAACGCUAAGAUAAAAUAACCAGAAAUAGCAUAAUGGAGGAUUCUCUUACCAGCCUACCCUCGGCAUCUACAACUGGAAGGCGUCGAAAUUUUGUUUCCAGCAACAACCUAAAGAUAGAAAUUUAAAAAGGUUAAUUUUUCAGACAGCUUAAAAAACACUAGAACACAGUUGAAAGAAGAUAGGUUCAGAGAAAAAUAUAGAAGAACCUAGCAGCAUCUUCAAGAUUGGUGGUCUCUCGAACAACCAUUGGAGAAGUGGUCAUUAAUUCACCGAUCAACCUUCCGUUGGUUUUACUCAGAAGUUGCUGGAUCUCAUUGAAAGUCUGCAGGAUUUCAUAAUAUCAGUGAAAUCCAGCUUUAAUCAAUUAGACAGUUCUCAAAUUAACUAGUACUCUUCACCCUUCCUCAAUAACUUACUCUUUCAAUAGAGUACUAUUAACCAUUAGGGCAGAUUAAGUAAUAAAAACAUAAACACUGUAUGGGAAAUCACAGCUUUGUUACUCUUAAAUGUAUUUGAAUAACACCAUUUUCAAGUGCAAGAUUUUCUAUUAUAUUCCUCAACUAGCAACGUCCCGUUUAAGAAGUUGAUCUUGCUCUAUUUUAACUGACAUUUUAAGACAUCAAAUUAUCAAUGCACCUCAAUUAUAAAUUUUUAACUAUAUCCUUAGACAACCAUGACCAAAACUUUCAAUAUUUGAAACAUUAUGAGAACCACAUCCUAAUAAGUAAUGAGAGAAUACUAACCAAAUGAUAAACAACUAGGCACUGGUUCAAGAAUUAAGAAAGGAAAUGUUUUAUUGCGAAUCUCUGUUUUCAUGCAUUAAAAGUAAUAAAAGUAGUUUCCUAAUAAAAAACUUUUUUCUUACUUCCUUAAUUAGUGUUGUUAGAGCACUAGUUAGCUAGAACCUAAGAACAACUUACCAAGUUAAUACAUUUCUGAAUCCUAGAGCAAUGUUUCAAAGGAUACAAUAUUACCAUCUAUGAAGGACAUUCUACAGUACUCCGUAAUUUCCACAGUGUGGUUGUCAAAUUGUCAAGUUAUUGAUUAUUUUCAAUUAAUGCUCAACAACUCACUCAGGUACCAUAAAAAAUCCCAUUUAUUAUGCAUGAAAGUUAAAAGGAAUAGGCUUUGUCCUUGUUGGGCUUAAUUAAAGGCACACAAACGAUUCAAGAUACACACAGACUCAUCUAAUUUUGUUCUGUGUUUGACUCUGUCUGUGACAUAUUCCGCAUACAAUCAACAUCAGUUAUUACCAUCCAACUAUUGUGAGAAAUCAUUAUAAAGGAUUCAGAACUAAAUGACCUAGAAGAACAUUUGGAUUUUGAUAGAAGAUAAUGACACCGUUUGAUACAUGUAGCUAACACUACCUAGUGGCAAAGGAUGUUGGUUGUUUUGUUUCUUUGGAAAGGAGAGGGGGGCUACUAUAAUAGAGUUCACAACUGCAAAACAUCCUAUAAGAAAUUGUUUAUGAUGUAGGUUUGAGCAUCCACUUGUACUACACAUGUACCAAUUGUGAUAUACAGAUUUCACAUUUCUAAAUAAGGCUGCUCCAGCUCUCUAAGAAUUGACUACCAAAAAUUCUGCUCAGUAAACUCAGCUUGCA